rnacentral:rRNA from 14 species
AGAAUCUUGGUCUUAAAUCUCCUAUUACUUUUCCCCCUAAUUAUACAUGCAAGACUCCCCACAACAGUGAAACAGCCCACCAUAACAGGUUUGGAGCCGGUAUCAGGCAACCGCCCAAGACGCCAAGCAAUUCAGCCACACCCCCACGGGUCCACAGCAGUAGUUAAUAUUAGGCCAUAAGCGAAAGCCUGACCUAGUAAGGGGGACACUAGGGCCGGUUAAUCUCGUGCCAGCGACCGCGGUUAUACGACAGACCCAAAAUAAUAGAUACGGCGUAAAGCACGACUAGUACUGACGUCCCUACACCUAGGGAAGAAUAACCCCAGGCUGUAAAAAGCCAUAGGCAAUAAGAACCAUAUUCCCUAACAACAAACAACUACAACUCGUGAAAGCUAGGACAUAAACUAAGAUUAGAUACCUUACUAUACCUAGCUGUAACACAAUAAUCAAACAACCUAUUAUUCGCCAAAUAACUACGAGCAAUAGCUUAAAACUCAAAGGACUUGACGGCACUUUAAACCCCCCUAGAGGAGCCUGUCCUAUAAUCGACAGUACACGUUACACCCGACCACCUUUAGCCUACUCAGUCUGUAUACCGCCGUCGCAAGCCCGUCCCAUUUGAGGGAAACAAAACGCGCGCAACAGCUCAACCGAGCUAACACGUCAGGUCAAGGUGCAGCCAACAAGGUGGAAGAGAUGGGCUACAUUUUCUCAACAUGUAGAAAUAUUCAACGGAGAGCCCUAUGAAAUACAGGACUGUCAAAGCCGAUUUAGCAGUAAACUGGGAAAGAAUACCUAGUUGAAGUCGGUAACGAAGUGCGUACACACCGCCGGUCACCUCCUCGAACCCAACAAAAUGCCCAAACAACAGGCACAAUGUUGGGCAAGAUGGGGAAAGUCGUAACAAGGUAAGCGUACCGGAAGGUGCACUUGGAACAU